rnacentral:rRNA from 1 species
UACGGAGGAUGCAAGCGUUGUCCGGAUUUACUGGGUGUAAAGGGCGUGUAGCCGGGCUGACAAGUCAGAUGUGAAAUCCGGGGGCUCAACCCCCGAACUGCAUUUGAAACUGUUGGUCUUGAGUAUCGGAGAGGCAGGCGGAAUUCCUAGUGUAGCGGUGAAAUGCGUAGAUAUUAGGAGGAACACCAGUGGCGAAGGCGGCCUGCUGGACGACAACUGACGGUGAGGCGCGAAAGCGUGGGGAGCAAACAGG